rnacentral:rRNA from 1 species
GAUGAACGCUAGCGGCAGGCCUAACACAUGCAAGUCGAACGGUAACAUGAGUAGCAAUACUUGAUGACGAGUGGCGCACGGGUGCGUAACGCGUAUGCAACUUACCUCUAACUGGAGAAUAGCCUUCCGAAAGGAAGAAUAAUACUCCAUAAUAUUACGAUGUGGCAUCACAUUGUUCUUAAAGCUUCGGCGGUUAGAGAUGGGCAUGCGUCUGAUUAGCUUGUUGGUGAGGUAACGGCUCACCAAGGCAACGAUCAGUAGGGGGCCUGAGAGGGUUAUCCCCCACACUGGUACUGAGACACGGACCAGACUCCUACGGGAGGCAGCAGUAAGGAAUAUUGGUCAAUGGAGGAAACUCUGAACCAGCCAUCCCGCGUGCAGGAAGAAUGCCCUAUGGGUUGUAAACUGCUUUUAUCUUGGGAAGAAAAGCCGGCAUUUAUGUUGGUCUGACGGUACCAGAGGAAUAAGCACCGGCUAACUCCGUGCCAG